AAUUAUUAUUAGAUUUUUAAAUAAUUAUUCACGAAAUAAAUUGAGCUAAAUUUUUGGUAUUUUUGGAAAUUAUAACUAUAUGUUACAAAAUAUAUUAACUAAAUAGAUUUAGGGGUGAAAGGCCUAUCAAAUUUUAUGAUAUCUUGAAGUAUAUAAAAUAUAUCAAGUAUUUCUAAUUCAACUAUUGAAUGUUUAGGUUCAAUAGUAACAUUAUAUUUUUUAAAAAAUUGUUCAAUUUUUUUAAGUAAAAUUGAGUUAGAGCAUAAAAUAUACAUCAAAUUUUUAUUAUAUGAAUAUAAAUAUACUACGGUUAUUAAUAAAUAUAAUCAUAUAUAAUGUAAUUAUUAGUAAUAGUUUAUUAAACUAUAUAAAGGAAUUCGGCAAGAAAAUUUUUCACCUGUUUAUCAAAAACAUAGCUUAUUGAAUAUCAUAAUAAGUAACCUCUGCUCAAUGGAAAUCUAAAUAGCCGCAGUACCUUGACUGUGCAAAGGUAGCAUAAUCAAUUGGCUUAUAAUUGAAGUCUGGAAUGAAUGGGUAAUCUGGAAAAUAACUGUCUUUAUUUGUAGUAUUUUGAAUUUACUUAUAAAGUGAAAAUACUUUAAUAUAAAUAUAAGACGAGAAGACCCUAGAAAUUUUUUGUUAAUAACUUUUGUUGGGGCGACAGGGUAACAUAUAAACUUACUUACAUUUAUAUAAAUCUUAUAAGGUACGUAACUAAAUUACUCUAGGGAUAACAGCAUAAUAUAUAAAAGUUUAUGACCUCGAUGUUGGACUAGGUAAUUAAAUAUUUAAAAGAUAUCUUAAUUUGCUCUGUUCGAGCAGUAUCACCUACAU
rnacentral:rRNA from 1 species